AACGAACGCUGGCGGCAUGCCUAACACAUGCAAGUCGAACGAGACCUUCGGGUCUAGUGGCGCACGGGUGCGUAACGCGUGGGAACCUGCCCUUAGGUUCGGAAUAACUCCCCGAAAGGGGUGCUAAUACCGGAUAAUGUCUUCGGACCAAAGAUUUAUCGCCUUUGGAUGGGCCCGCGUUGGAUUAGCUAGUUGGUAGGGUAAAAGCCUACCAAGGCGACGAUCCAUAGCUGGUCUGAGAGGAUGAUCAGCCACACUGGGACUGAGACACGGCCCAGACUCCUACGGGAGGCAGCAGUGGGGAAUAUUGGACAAUGGGAGAAAGCAUGAUCCAGCAAUGCCGCGUGAGUGAUGAAGGCCGUAGGGUUGUAAAGCUCUUUUACCCGGGAUGAUAAUGACAGUACAGGGAGAAUAAGAGCAGGCUAACUCCGUG
rnacentral:rRNA from 1 species